AACAACCAUUGGUUUUGGAUCUCCAAACAAAGCAAACUCGUACAGUGUUCAUGGUGCUGCAUUGGGUGCCAAGGAAGUGGAUGCUACCCGGAAGAACCUUGGAUGGCCAUAUGAGCCUUUCCAUGUACCAGAGGAUGUUAAAAGGUAAGGACCACCCCAGUAAAUUUCUAUUGUUUUAAUCAGUCUACUAGCAUUAAUUACAGAUCAUCUUGUUUGUUUCUAUCUUAGUCAUUGGAGUCGCCAUACCGCUGAGGGUUCUGCUCUUGAAGCUGAAUGGAAUGCCAAGUUUGCUGAAUAUGAGAAGAAGUACAAGGAGGAAGCUGCAGAGCUGAAAUCCAUCAUUUCGGGUGAGCUACCAGCUGGUUGGGAAAAAGCACUUCCGGUGAGUAGAGCUCUACCUUUAAUUGCUCUUUUUAUCUUUAAGAACCUAUUUAGUUAUUUAACAUGCGGGCUACUUGGCAAUGAGCGCAAAAACAUUGGCGCAAGCAUUCUGAAUGGCGUUGGUAUCAUGUCUUGGCUUCUUUUGGGUCCCUGCACCUGAACUUAGUCUCAGAAUUGGCCAGGCCUACUUUGCAGAUUCUGUGAUAAACCAUUUUGUAUAUUAAUGUAGCUAGUUAGGAGUGGAUAUGAAAGUCAUCUUAUGAGGUCUACUGUUUGCAAUUUUCCAGACUUACACUCCAGAGAACCCAGCUGAUGCUACCCGAAAUUUAUCUCAAGCAAACCUAAAUGCCCUUGCGAAGGUUCUCCCUGGUCUUCUUGGUGGAAGUGCAGACCUUGCUUCUUCCAACAUGACUUUGCUAAAAAGUUUUGGAGACUUCCAGAAGAACACCCCGGAAGAACGCAAUGUUAGGUUUGGUGUUAGGGAGCAUGGGAUGGGAGCCAUCUGCAAUGGGAUUGCCCUUCACAGCCCAGGCCUCAUUCCAUACUGUGCCACUUUCUUUGUUUUCACGGACUACAUGAGAGCUGCCAUAAGGAUCUCUGCCUUGUCA
rnacentral:lncRNA from 1 species